CUACGGGGCGCAGCAGUGAGGAAUAUUGCACAAUGGGGGGAACCCUGAUGCAGCAACGCCGCGUGGAGGAUGACGCAUUUCGGUGUGUAAACUCCUUUUAUAUGUCAAGAAAAUGACGGUAGCAUAUGAAUAAGCACCGGCUAACUCCGUGCCAGCAGCCGCGGUAAUACGGAGGGUGCAAGCGUUACUCGGAAUCACUGGGCGUAAAGGACGCGUAGGCGGGUUGGAAAGUCAGGUGUGAAAUCCUACAGCUUAACUGUAGAACUGCACUUGAAACUUCUAAUCUAGAGUAUGGGAGGGGGAGAUGGAAUUAGUGGUGUAGGGGUAAUAUCCGUAGAUAUCACUAGGAAUACCUAAAGCGAAGGCGAUCUCCUGGAACAUUACUGACGCUAAGGCGUGAAAGCGUGGGGAGCAAACAGGAUUAGGUACCCCCGUAGUC
rnacentral:rRNA from 1 species